rnacentral:lncRNA from 1 species
UUUUUCGAGGAUUUAGCUGAAAAGACUAUGUUGUGGGAGUCAACUAGGGAACCUAAAAAGUCGAUCGAGUCGUCUAGCUCUAGCUCUAGCUCUAGGGGUUUGCACUCGAUAGGAAACAAUGUGGCAACCGAUGCCAAAUUAGCAACCCUUACUAAGAGACUCGAAGCUUUGGAGUCUCAUAGUGGCCCUUCACUUUUGCCUAUGUUCCCGAACUAUAAUGCUUCCCAUCCCGAGAUCCAACAAUCUCACGAUUUUGAGCAAGUGAACGCGA